rnacentral:rRNA from 1 species
GACGAACGCUGGCGGCGUGCCUAAUACAUGCAAGUAGAACGCACAGUUUAUACCGUAGCUUGCUACACCAUAGACUGUGAGUUGCGAACGGGUGAGUAACGCGUAGGUAACCUGCCUGGUAGCGGGGGAUAACUAUUGGAAACGAUAGCUAAUACCGCAUAAUAUUGAUUAUUGCAUGAUAAUUAAUUGAAAGGUGCAAUUGCACCACUACCAGAUGGACCUGCGUUGUAUUAGCUAGUAGGUGAGGUAACGGCUCACCUAGGCGACGAUACAUAGCCGACCUGAGAGGGUGAUCGGCCACACUGGGACUGAGACACGGCCCAGACUCCUACGGGAGGCAGCAGUAGGGAAUCUUCGGCAAUGGACGAAAGUCUGACCGAGCAACGCCGCGUGAGUGAAGAAGGUUGUCGGAUCGUAAAGCUCUGUUGUAAGAGAAGAACGGGUGUGAGAGUGGAAAGUUCACACUGUGACGGUAGCUUACCAGAAAGGGACGGCUAACUACGUG